UAGCCACGAAAUGGAAGAAGAUCUGAUGAGUAUGUGUAAAAUGAUAAAGAAUUGAAAAACCAGCAGCACCAGACCCCAUCCCGCAGGUGUGCUGAUCCAGAGCCAGUCAACCUUGAAACGUCACGUCACUCGUUCCAGGAAACACCCCUCUAUUGAAUUUUGAUGUUGAAUGUACAGACAGAAUCCAAAUCAAAGCCUUUUAUCUGUUCAAACAUUUCUGUUUGUGUAACUGUGCCGUGUCUUUUGAAUUAAAAGCAUUCUAAAAUA